AGCCUCUCCUUGUGCCACCUUUUCAUCCCUUCCUCCCGUCCCUGCCCAUCCCCGCCGCCGGCGUCAAUCCGGUGUCUGUCCUUGUAUAUUGAGUUGCAUUCUCUAGGUUAUUUUUUAGGGCCGAGUAGUAUUCCACCGUACGGACCCAGCACGUUGCUUCUGCACGCGUGUCACGUGGAUGAACAUUCGUGCUGUUUCCAGUCCAAAUAAAGCCGCCGGGAACAUUGCACGUUCACA